rnacentral:rRNA from 1 species
AUUGAACGCUGGCGGCAUGCUUUACACAUGCAAGUCGAACGGCAGCGCGGGCUUCGGCCUGGCGGCGAGUGGCGAACGGGUGAGUAUUACAUCGGAACGUGCCCAGUAGUGGGGGAUAGCUCGGCGAAAGCCGGAUUAAUACCGCAUACGACCUGGGGGUGAAAGCGGGGGAUCUUCGGACCUCGCGCUAUUGGAGCGGCCGAUGGCAGAUUAGCUAGUUGGUGGGGUAAAGGCCUACCAAGGCGACGAUCUGUAGCUGGUCUGAGAGGACGACCAGCCACACUGGGACUGAGACACGGCCCAGACUCCUACGGGAGGCAGCAGUGGGGAAUUUUGGACAAUGGGCGAAAGCCUGAUCCAGCAAUGCCGCGUGUGUGAUGAAGGCCUUCGGGUUGUAAAGCACUUUUGGCGGGAACGAAAAGGACUGUGCCAAUACCACGGUUCGAUGACGGUACCCGCAGAAUAAGCACCGGCUAACUACGUG